GGGUGAGUAACACGUGAGUAACCUGCACCUGACUCUGGGAUAAGCGUUGGAAACGACGUCUAAUACUGGAUCGGACUGCCGGCCGCAUGGUCUGGUGGUGGAAAGAUUUUUUGGUUGGGGAUGGACUCGCGGCCUAUCAGCUUGUUGGUGAGGUAAUGGCUCACCAAGGCGACGACGGGUAGCCGGCCUGAGAGGGUGACCGGCCACACUGGGACUGAGACACGGCCCAGACUCCUACGGGAGGCAGCAGUGGGGAAUAUUGCACAAUGGGCGAAAGCCUGAUGCAGCAACGCCGCGUGAGGGAUGACGGCCUUCGGGUUGUAAACCUCUUUUAGUAGGGAAGAAGCGAAAGUGACGGUACCUGCAGAAAAAGCACCGGCUAACUACGUGCCAGCCGCCGCGGUAAUACAA
rnacentral:rRNA from 1 species